GCCCUAUUAGAUCUCUCCAUGUCCAUUUAAGAGAGAGAGCCAGACAGGUCCAUCCACAGGACCACCAGAGAGCCACAGCACCAGCGGCAGCCACCCAAAGCCCAGGAGGCCAGGACCGCCUCACCGCCAAUGGCCGACCGCGUGUACCCCGCCGCCAAGCCGAACCCGCCUCCAGGCGCGGCGGGCAACAGCAACGGCGCGCAGGCGUCGUCGUUCCCUGCGCCCAAGUCGCAGAUGUACCAGCGGCCCAUCUACCGUCCUCAGGCCCCCGCGAAGCGGCAGCGCGGGCGGUCGUGCCGGUGCAGCUUGUGCUGCUGCUUCUGCUGGGCGCUGGUGGUGGUGAUCCUGCUGGCGUUCGUGGCCGCGGUGUGCGGCGGCGUCUUCUACCUGCUGUACCGGCCGCAGCGGCCGUCGUUCAGCGUGUCGUCGGUGCGGCUGGCGUCGCUGAACCUGACGUCGUCGGCGACGGCGCCCGUGCUGAGCGACGCCAUCACGCUGACCGUGACGGCCCGGAACCCGAACAAGAAGAUGGUGUACCUGUACGACGACCUGACCCUGCUGGUGGCCACGGCCGCCAACGCCGUGCCGCUGGGGAGCGCCACGGUGCCCGGGUUCGCGCACGCGGCCGGCAACACCACCGUGCUGACCGCCACCGUCUCCGCCAGCGCGGUGGGCGUGGACCCCAGCGGCGCCAGCUCCGACAUCAAGCGGUCCGGCGGCGGGUCGUUCUCCGUGGUGGUGGACGCGGACACCAGCGCCGGCGUCCGGGUGGGCGGGCUCAAGACGAAGAAGAUCGGCAUCCAGGUGCACUGCGAGGGCAUCAAGCUGACGGCACCGCCUCCGCCUCCGCCGGCGCCCAAGAGGGCCAAGGGGAAGAACAGCACCGCCGCGCUCGCGCCUGCUCUGGCGCCGUCCGCCGCCGACGCGACGCCGGCGAAGACGGCCACGGUGAGCACGGCGGCGCACUCGUGCAAGGUUAGGGUCCGCGUCAAGAUCUGGAAGUGGACUUUCUAGGUACGGGCAGCGGGAGGAGAGGAGACACCUUUAGGGGCUGCAGCGCGCAAAAAAAAAAGAUUUUCGCUUUCAUUGCUAUUUAUUUAUCUAUAUAUAUAAAUAUAUAUACGGCGAUAAGUUUGUUAUCACCAUGAUUACUAUAUAUCGGAGCGGGCAGGAGUAUAUGUAUUGUAGGACCAAGACAUGCGUGCGUCGGUGUAAAUUCAUUCGCCCAGGCAUUUUCUUUUCCUUUUUGCUUCAACCAUUUUUCACCCCUGUGAUUGAUCAGUGGAACGGAUGAUGUAUAAUUACGUGUGAUUGUAGACUGUGAUUCGAUUUUAUUUGAGCCUGAGAGAGAAGGCUGGGCCGCUGAACCACAGCUGGUGGUGAGAGGGACACGUUGAGUGGCGGCAAUUGUAAAACUCAUCACGAGUGUCGGCACCUUGUCAGAAAAAGAAGAAAAGAAAUAGUGUCGGUAGGGGUGUAAUCGGAUCGAAUACGGACGGAUAUCAAUGAAAUCAUAUUUGUUUUCAUAUUUU
rnacentral:misc_RNA from 1 species